rnacentral:rRNA from 1 species
UACGUAGGGUGCAAGCGUUGCCCGGAUUUAUUGGGCGUAAAGGGCGCGUAGGCGGCUCUGCACGUCCGUUGUGAAAUCGCCCGGCUCAACUGGGUAAGGCCUUCGAAAACUGCCGGACUUUGAGGGCCAGAGAGGGACAUAGAAUUCGGGUGGAGUGGUGAAAUGCGUAGAUAUCCGGAGGAAUACCAAAGGCGAAGGCAGUGUCCUGGCGUGGCGAUCUGACGCUGAGGCGCGAAAGCUAGGGGAGCGAACAGG